GAACGGUAGCCUAGUUCAAGUGGCAAAUAUCAAAUUGAUGUUUUCUUCCAUGCUUUAAAGUUCAAUCCUUUCUUGUUGAGUUUCCUCAAUGGGUUUUUCCUGUUGUUCCACGAUUUAUCGGGAAAAUUCAAUCCAAAUCCACAAGGCCAAGGCCGAAUUUUGUACGACAGAGGAGCUGGGAACUAGGAACGCUAACCCAAUCCUCAAUUAAGCUGAAAUACGCAGGGGCUUACGUUUUAUUUGCUGUUUUGUUGUGUCCGAUGCCAACUCAGAUGGUGAAAUAGCCAUUUUAGACUGACUUUUUUCAGAGAGAGAGAAUUUUCUACCAGGAGAUGAUGGCCUUUCGUUGGCACCUUCGGAAACACUCCCCUUUUAAUUUUUUUUUUUAUUCCCGCCCCGGUUUCUUCCCCCUCCCGACUAAACUAAACUAACUGAAGCAGCAUACUAUAAAUUCAAUGGACGAAUGUUUUUCUGCUUAGAGUUAACAAUAAGAAAAGUUGCAAUUUUUCUUGACUUGAGCAUCAAAAGAAAAGAAAAGGAAGACAAAUAAAUGGGUUGGAGAGGGAUUCUGGGAUUUGAGUAUGGAAUAGUGCAGGCACCAUUGGGACCAGAUAUUUCAGGUCCAGAGCUUGUAGCUGCUGUUGCUAACGCUGGUGGACUUGGUCUCCUUAGAGCCCCUGAUUGGGAGGCACCGGAUUACCUAAAAGAGCUAAUAAGGAAGACCAGAACCCUGACUGACAAACCUUUUGGGGUUGGUGUUGUUCUGGCUUUUCCGCACAAGGAAAACAUAAGGGCUAUACUGGAUGAAAAGGUAGCGGUCUUGCAGCUUUCCUGGGGUGAGUGCACAAGUGAUAUAGUGCUUGAGGCUCACAAAGUCGGGGUCAAGGUUGUACCACAGGUGGGGAGCUUUGAAGAAGCAAAGAAAGCUGCUGAUGUGGGUGUGGAUGCAAUAAUUGUCCAAGGACGGGAAGCUGGUGGACAUGUUAUUGGACAGGGUGCCUUAAUUUCUUUGUUGCCAAGGGUAGUUGAGCUUGUUCAGGGUCGUGAUAUACCAGUUAUUGCUGCCGGUGGAAUAGUGGAUGAACGUGGUUAUGUAGCUUCCCUGGCCCUUGGAGCUAGGGGGAUUGCAAUGGGCACUAGAUUUCUUGCUACGGAUGAAAGCUAUGCUCACCCAGCAUAUAAGCAGAAGUUGAUCAAAUUUGAUGAAACAGAGUACACAGAUAUAUUUGGCCGUGCAAGGUGGCCUGGAGCGCCUCAACGUGUUCUGAGGACUCCAUUCUUAGUGGAAUGGAGAACUCUUCCCAGUGAUGAGAAUGAGACUAAUCAACCUACCAUUGGUCAUUCCACCAUACAUGGAAUGUUAAUUGAGUGAUGUAGGUUUGUCUUAGCAGACAACCAAAUGAUGCUGACUAUGCACGUGUAUUAUUGCUUCAUUAGGAAAAAGAGAUUCGUCGAUUCGCUGGCACAGUUCCAAACCUGACAACAAGUGGUGAUGUUGAAAGCAUGGCCAUGUAUGCGGGUGAGGGAAUUGGCCUAAUUAAAGAUAUCUUACCAGCUGGGGAAGUCAUUAGGAGGAUUGUUGAAGGGGCUAAGCAUCUGAUCAAUCAACAAUUUGCCUGUGACAUGCAGGCUUAGGCAUCAGUUGAAUCGAUACAACUAGUUAAUGGUUGUAGUAGUAUACAAGAUUGCAAGUUUUAUGCCGGAGAAAUAAAUCACUGAGAGAAGGAAAGAGAAAUUAUGUGUGUUUAACCAGUCAAGUUACUAUGUGCUGUAUUGUAGGAAAGAACAAAAUAUUGUAUCAUCUUCUUUAGUAGGCAAGAAAUAAUUUUAUCUUGUGUUUACCUCCUUCUUGGUAAGCAUGUGCUUCAGGGUUUACGAUUUCAGAUGUGCAACGCAGUUGAUCUCA